rnacentral:pre_miRNA from 1 species
UGGGUACUCCCUCCGUCCGGAAAUACUUGUCCUCGAAAUGGAUAAAAUGGAUGUAUCUAUAACUAAAAUAAGUCUAGAUACAACCAUUUCGAGGACAAGUAUUUCCGGACGGAGGGAGUACCAA